AUUGAACGCUGGCGGCAGGCCUAACACAUGCAAGUCGAGCGGAUGAAGGGAGCUUGCUCCUGGAUUCAGCGGCGGACGGGUGAGUAAUGCCUAGGAAUCUGCCUGGUAGUGGGGGAUAACGUCCGGAAACGGGCGCUAAUACCGCAUACGUCCUGAGGGAGAAAGUGGGGGAUCUUCGGACCUCACGCUAUCAGAUGAGCCUAGGUCGGAUUAGCUAGUUGGUGGGGUAAAGGCCUACCAAGGCGACGAUCCGUAACUGGUCUGAGAGGAUGAUCAGUCACAACGGAACCUAGAAAACGGUCCAAAUUCCAAGGGGGGGCGGAGGGGGGGAAUUUUGGCAAAGGGGGGAAAGCCGAACCCGCCCAGGCGGGGGUGGUGAAGAAGUGCUGGGGUUGGAAAAGCACUUUAAGUGGGGAGAAAAGGCGGUAAUUUAAACCCUUGCUGUUUGAACGUAACCAACAAAAAAGGCCCCGGCAAACUCGGG
rnacentral:rRNA from 1 species